AUGAACAAGAAUCUUGGCAAGAGAACUGCUGAAGCUGGUGGAAAGGAUGAUCCUCAGUGCAAGCGACUACAUGUCACUGGAGGUCCCAACUCUGAUGAUGAUGACUUUGUGCUUGCUGAUUUUGUGAGGGAUGUUCAUAGUGGUAGACGCAAAGACUGUGGUUUAUCUAAGAGUCUACCCAAGCGUGACCGUGACGAUGUCGAUGAAGAUGUUUCUGGUGACUCUGGCGAGGAGGUGGAUGUUGUUCCAAAGAGGAAGAAGUCUAGUAAGAGCAAUGCAGCUGAAGAUGAAGCUAAGAAAAAUGUGUCGCGCAUUCUUAUGUGCUAUCUGAUGGGAGUGAUUGACCCUGCCACCAUGAUAAUGGACUUUGGGAAUGGCAUGGUUCUUCGAAUCAAUCGUGAUGCAGUUCAUCACAUUUUUGAUUUACCCAUGGGAUGUCACACUGCACCCAUGCCUGCUGCCAGUGGCCAUGAUGACUCGUUGAGUGCCCUCAAGGAUGAGCUUGGCUUUGACCGUUCAAAAAGUAUAGGUAUCAAGGACUUGCUUGAGAAGUUGAAGGUGUUGGUGGAGGAAGAUGAUGAUGUGACUGUUGACCUUGUUGUGAAGGUGUUCUUCCUGAUACUCUACCAGAAUUUGCUGUGCCCCGGGCCUGCAGGUCGUUUGGGUAGAGUUGCUGCAAUGAUAGAGAACAUGGAUUAUGCGGCUAUGGCUCAGAUGGACUUUUGCCAGCUUGCAGGCAGCUCUGGUAAGCUUCGCAAAUUUUCACUCAUGCACACAUUGACGCCACGUGCGUCAUACCUGGCGACCAAGGACCUGAUGAAGUUAUACGAUGAGGAUGUGCUUGUGAAGGGAAAGAUUUAUUUGGAAACUUACAAAUUUGGGAAGCUGCCGUGGAAGGCGUCAGGUGAUAUUGUGUACAACAGUCCUAUUGCAGUUGAACGCGGCAGCUCUGAUGCAAGACCUAGCACUCAUGCUAGGUUUUAUGAGCCUAUAUGUAGCCAGCUUCCUGCCUGUGAUGAUGAGACAUUUGUUGGUGGAAAAAAACACGAGGAGAUUGAUGAGCUUCUUCUGAAGGUUUUGAAGUUGACUGAAGAUUUGCCAACCUCCGGUGAGAGGUUGAGGACAGUUGCUGGUUUUUUCCCUGUUGGCCAUGGCCCACUAGAUGAAGAUAUUGUUACUGCUCACAAUUUUGAUUGCGGCGUGAUUGAAAGCCUGAAGAUUGCAGUGACGAAUGAUCGGUCUUCGUAUGCUCAAUUGAGAUAUUCACAAGAGGAAAAAUGCGGUCGAUACGAGAAGGAUGCUGGGCAUAUUUUGGAUGAAAUAAACCGUCAGGACGCUGGUGUUGGCGCUGAUAAUACUGGUGAUGCUGCUUGUGAUGUGCACAAAGAGACCUACGAUGGCUCUGGGAAGGAUGAGGUCUUGGCUGAUGCAUCGUCCCCUCCGGAUGUUGUAGCUGAUAAGUGUUGGUGCUUCUGCAUCGGUAGUUGUCCAGACGCUUCUGUAGCUCAAGAAUACCUUGAUGCUCUUUCCCCCAGUCGGCAUGAAGACUCUGAUUUUGUCAUUGAAAAACCGCUGGAGAAUGCCAUCCCUGCUGUUAGUGUUGUUGCUUCCCCUGUUUGUCUGGCGGCCAACGAUGUUCCUGAAGUAUCGAGAAUUGAGCCUCAUGUAGCUGAAGUAUCUAAGGACGUUGCGGUUGACCAGACUAUUGUAAAUCCAGAGAAUGCUGAUGUUGCUGCAGAAGGGAAGUCCAGUGAGGUUGUGGUGGAUUCAUCGCAAUCUGUCCAAGAAAAUCUUUUGGUGAGCUCUGAAGAACAACAGCAUGAAGACUCUGACACUGAAGGCAAGAGUUUUGUUUCAAACAGUGCAGUUGAAUAUCUUAUGUUUUCAGUUUUUCAUGAAAAAUUCAAGGACAUGAUUGCUUUUAAAACUGAGUUGGGUGAUAUUACCAUUGGCGAAGUUGGUCAAUCCUUUUGGGAUAAAGGGAUGCUCACUACAAGACUUGUAGAUCUUGGGGUUUCUUUGCUGAUAGAUGAGUUUAAGGGAUCUCCGACAAUGAAAAAUAUUUGGAAUGGUGGUACUGUAGGCAGAAGUGUUAAAAUGGUGUUCUCUUCAAAAGCCGAGGAGCGUGUUGAUAAAAAGGAUAUGGUCCUUUUUGCAACUUUUGAUCCACCAGAUACAAGGGAUGACAUUGGUCAUUAUUGUGUAGUUGCGUUAAAUAUGAAAGAAAGGCGGUUUGAAUUUCUUGACUCGCUCAAUAAACCUGGCAGCCAUGGUGCGAUCAAGGUUUUUAGGAGGAUGGUUAAAAAUAUCAAGCGUGCAUGGAAAGAAGGAAGCUCAAGUUCCGAUGAGCUGCUAAAUCCUCCUACACUUGAUGGAUUUGUGUUGAAACAUGUCAUUGUCCCAAUACAUCCUAAUGGGCAUGAUUGUGGAUUCUAUAUGUUUCAAUUCCUGCAGCCUUGGGAUGGUGUUCGAGUUGCUCAGUUUGGGGUGGAGCACAUUGGCUACAUCAGAAAGCCCAUGCUCUAUAGUUGGCUCACAUCGAGAAAGUGUUCCCUUGAUUUAACAUCGCUUUUAAUUUUUGCAGAUAAAGAUUGCACCGUUGAAAUCUCUCAAGAUAAUUCUGGUUCUUUGGCUGGAGAUGGUUUGAACACAGCUGUGGCGUCUGGAUCUGAUGGUGCAAGUGUUUCUCGCCCUAGCUCCCCACGUGAUGUGUUUGAUGUUGAUGAUGAUGAUUUUGUUACACCGUGUCCUCACGUCACGAGGACUCGGAGUGCAGCAAUUAAUCGGCCUCCUGUGGAUGAUGUUGAAGUUUUUUCGAACAAGAGGGCAGGUGAGAGGGCUUUUAAGUUGAGAUGCUCUAUAGAGAAAUUGAAGCCUCCGAGGUUCAAAUAUAUUGAUGAGGCGAGGAAAAUAGAGGAUCUUGUUCUCAGCAAAGCAUUUGUAACCAAAUACCACGAGAAUGCGUUCUUUAUGGUGAACAGUCCUUUUGGUGAUCUUGAUACUUACAAUGUUGACUAUAUCUAUAAUACAUUUGGCAAAGGAGCUUUAAUGGAUUCGUAUCUCAUGGAUUUUGUCAUCAAGUACUGGAAGCAAGACGCUAAAAUGGGUUUAGUUUAUCAUUCUGGUGAACGUGUGCUACUUUCACCCUUAUUUAUCACGUAUGUUCUUCAGAUGGAAACAUUUGUGAAGAAAGAUGAGGAAGGAAACCCUGUGUUGCCAGUUUUGCAUAGCACAUUGGUUUCAGAAGAUGUAGUUAACCAGUUCAAGGUUUUUGUGAGUGACGACAUAAACCUGUUGGAUGCAAAACUGAUGAGGAGGAUGACUCAGUUGGUGAAGGCGAUUUAUGGUGAAAAAAUGUGUAAAUCUAAGAACCACCCUGACUGGGUUAAAUUGGUAGAGAAGCCCUCUUACCCGAUCGUGCCAGUGCAGGGAGCAAACGAGUGCGGAAUCUAUGUUCUGAGGGUGACGCAGUUGUAUGACGGCCAACGUUUAGUUGAGAAAAUUAUCAAAACCGACACUGCUGUUGAAGAUUGGAAGGCGGAGUACAUGUUCCAGCUGCUGUUCAAUUCCUCAAACAUGUUGUGUUAUGAAGACAUGCCGCUUGAGCUAGGAGAACUGAUUGCGGACCUCGGGCUUACUUCCCUAUCGCAAUCGCAGACGCAGUAA
rnacentral:rRNA from 1 species